GACACAUGAUUCUCGCCAAUGCUUGGCCAUUGGUAUUGAGAAGAAAUGUGAGUUCUUUGCAAGCCGAGAAAUAGGCUAGCCUUGAUACACCCAAUGCUAAAGCCACGCUAAACGCCGCCUUCAAAACAAGUCCAAGUGCUAUUAGAACAGAGGAGACUGAGGGUCUUGAAAAUGAUCCUUGAAGGAUCGUUGCCAUAAGUCGAUCUUUAAUGAUCCAUCUCAAAACGCACCAAAUAACUUGAGCCAUCCAAGCGACGGUGACGCCACAAGUAAAAUCGACUAGAGGAGCAUCGAUACGGAUUAUACAUAUAAAGAUGAGAAGUGCAAAAUAAUGUUUAACAACAAAUAAUAUGUCAAAACUUCUCUAGAGUUCUCUCUCACAUCCCCACAUAGAUAGAGGCAUCAUCAUCAUCAUCAUCAUCCUUUGUAGAUGGCACUGAAAGGAGGGAAGCUUGAUUCGUGUGUGUAUAUAUUCUCGUCUAUGGUUUUCAUCAUCCGUCUUAAUUGGUGCAGGAGAUUGCAUCUCUAUGUAUAUUAGAUGUAUGUAUGUAAGGAUGAAAAUGAAAUGUUGUAUGUAUAUGUAGAUUUGUA